rnacentral:rRNA from 1 species
UACGGGGGGGGCAAGCGUUGUUCGGAAUUACUGGGCGUAAAGGGCGCGUAGGCGGCCAUCUAAGUCAGACGUGAAAUCCCCCGGCUUAACCUGGGAACUGCGUCUGAUACUGGACGGCUUGAGUGCGGGAGAGGGAUGUGGAAUUCCAGGUGUAGCGGUGAAAUGCGUAGAUAUCUGGAGGAACACCGGUGGCGAAGGCGGCAUCCUGGACCGACACUGACGCUGAGGCGCGAAAGCUAGGGUAGCAAACGGG